rnacentral:rRNA from 1 species
GACGAACGCUGGCGGCGUGCCUAAUACAUGCAAGUAGAACGCUGAAGGAGGAGCUUGCUUCUCUGGAUGAGUUGCGAACGGGUGAGUAACGCGUAGGUAACCUACCUGGUAGCGGGGGAUAACUAUUGGAAACGAUAGCUAAUACCGCAUAAUAGUAGAUGUUGCAUGACAUUUGCUUAAAAGGUGCAAUUGCAUCACUACCAGAUGGACCUGCGUUGUAUUAGCUAGUUGUUGGGGUAACGGCUCACCAAGGCGACGAUACAUAGCCGACCUGAGAGGGUGAUAGGCCAAACUGGGACUGAGACACGGCCCAGAAUCCUACGGGAGGCAGCAGUAGGGAAUCUUCGGCAAUGGACGGAAGUCUGAACGAGCAACGCCGCGUGAGUGAAGAAGGUUUUCGGAUCGUAAAGCUCUGUUGUAAGAGAAGAACGAGUGUGAGAGUGGAAAGUUCACACUGUGACGGUAUCUUACCAGAAAGGGACGGCUAACUACGUG